GCAUUAGACUCUGUGGCUAAUCUCUGACUGAAUCAUUGUUUCAGCUUUCCUGCAUUUAUUCUCGUAAGAAAAUGACUUUAAAAAACAUCAAUGUCUUGCUGUACAGUGUUGAAGGAUAUUGAUGAAAUUACUGUCAUUGUGCUGCAUAGCUGGUGAUAACAAGAGACAUUACUAACAUAGACACUGCAUUGAUGUGAUACGUCAGUGUGUUUGCCAUUUUGCUAAGGGCGUGUGGAAACUGAGUUUUCUGACUAUGAAGAGCUAAUGUAAACUUAAUGUAUAAUACUUUUAAAUACUCAAUGAUUAUAUUAACUAUUAGGAGGAACACAUGAUUUAUAUUGGGUUAUUUAUUAUCUCAUGCCUCAUUAGUUUACACUGACCUGAUGUUAACUUUUUACUUUUAUCAUAUCAAGCCAUGUCAGCCAAUCUAAUAUCUUCCAUUUAUAAAUGUGUCCAACAACUAUAAUCAUAACAGCUCUGCAAACAUUCAAGAGUCAAACUUACCCCCAAAUUCUACUGCAUGCUGAACGGCGGCAAAAAGGCCAUUGGCGACGAUUGUCGCUGAUCGUUUCGAUUCAAGUUAAUGUGUCAAUUUCCACUGGCUUCUUUCCAGCCCCCUGCGGUUCAGUGGGCUUCGUAGACAAUCGCCAAGGUUCAAUUUUUUUUUCGGACACCGCAGCAUGCCGCAUAAAUUCAGCACAGAUUAGCCCGUGCUGAAGAGAAGGAUGGGCACAGACACAAAAUAAAACAUUUGGCUUCUUUUCAAAAGAAAACACUAUGUGUUUCAGGCAGAUCAUGUGUCACACCAUGAAAACAUUGGCGGGGCAACUUACUCACGGUUAAUUACCAAUCUCCACAAAAGUGUCUGAUUUACUGGUCUGGACAGAGUGGGUUUCCUCCUCUGGAAGGACACAAUCAACGUCUUAUAUGGUUCUGUGGCUGUCUUUAUAGAGACAUCACGCAUGUGAAUUUGUGGGUUCUUGUGAGUUCUCGUGAUUCCUGCUUCCCAAAAUUCGCCAGGUAAUUUGCCCCACAAUCGCAUCCAGUAGGAUUUGGCGGCUGCAUCAAAACUGCAGCUGUUCCGCAUGCGGUGGAAUCUUGGGGCAGGACUGAUACAGUUAUUUAACAACAGUCAGGAGGCAUGUUUCUCCAUAUACAGUGCAUCCGGAAAGUAUUCAUACCACUUCACUUUUUCCACAUUUUGCUAUGUUACAGCCUUAUUCCAAAAUGGAUUAAAUUCCUUUUUUCCUCAAAAAUUCUACACAAAAUACCCCAUAAUUACAAAGCGAAAAACUUUUUUUAGAACAUUUUGCAAGUUUAUUAAAAAUAAGAACACUCAAAUGUUGCAUAUACCUAAGUAUUCACACCCUUUACUCAGUACUUGGUCGAAGCACCUUUGGCAGCGACAGCCUCCAGUCUUCUUGUGUAUGAUGCAACAAGCUUGGCACACCUGGAUUUAGGGAGUUUUUCCCAUUCUUCCUUGCACAUCCUCUCAAGCUCAGCUCGGUGCACAGCUACUUUCAGGUCUUUCCAAAGAUGUUCAAUCGGAUCCAAGUCUGGGCUCUGGCUGGGCCACUGAAGGACAUUCGAAGGUCUCGAGCACUCUGGAGCAGGUUUUCAUCAAGGAUUUCGAUGUACUUAGCUGCAUUCAUUUUUCCCUGACAAGUCUCCCAGUUCCUGCCGCUGAAAAACAUCUCCACAGCAUGAUGCUGCCACCACCAUGCUUCACUGUAGGGAUGGUAUUGGCGAGGUGGUGAGUGGUGCCUGGUUUCCUCCAGACAUGACGCUUGGCAUUCAGGCCAAAGAGUUCAAUCUUUGUUUCAUCAGACCAGAGAAUUUUGUUUCUCCUGGUCUGUGAGUCCUUCAGGUGCCUUCUAGCAAAGUCCAAUCGGGCUGUCAUGUGCUUUUUACUGAGGAGUGGCUUCUGUCUGGCCACUCUACCAUAAAUGCCUGACUGGUGGAGUGCUGCAGAGAUGGUGGUCCUUCUGUAGGGUUCUCCCAUCUCCUCAGAGGAACGCUGGAGCUCUGUCAGAGUGACCAUCGGGUUCUUGGUCACCUCCCUGACCAAGGCCCUUCCCCCCCGCUUGCUCAAUUUGGCUGGGCGGCCAGCUUUAGGAAGAGUCCUGGUGGUUCCAAACGUCCUUCAUUUCUUAAUGAUGGAGACCACUGUGCUUUUUGGGAUCUUCAAUGCAGCAGAUAUUUUUCUGUAACCUUCCCCAGAUCUGUGCGCCAAUACAACCCUGUUUCGGAGGUCUACAGACAAUUCUUUCGACUUCAUGGCUUGGAUUGUGCUCUGACGUGUUCUGUCAGCUGUGGGAUCUUAUAUAAACAGGUGUGGCUUUCCAAAUCAUGUCCAAUCAGCUGAAUUUGCCACAGGUGGACUGCAAUCAAGUUGGAGGAACAUUUCAAGGCUGAUCAGUGGAAACAGGAUGCACCUGAGCUCAAUUUUGAGUUUUAUAGCAAUGGGUGUGAAUACUUAUGUAUAUGCAACAUUUGAGUGUCUUAUUUUUAAUAAAUUUGCAAAAUGUUCUAAAAAAAAGUUUUUCACUUUGUCAUUAUGGGGUAUUUUGUGAAGAAUUUUUGAGAGAAAAAAGGAAUUUAAUCCAUUUUGGAAUAAGGCUUUAACAUGACAAAAUGUGGAAAAAGUGAAGUGGUAUGAAUACUUUCUGGAUGCACUGUAUGUGAAAAUGCCGUCAGCAAUAUGGCGUCUACGUGUGUGAAAUAUAGUUACUCAUGAAGUUCUCCUCCUCACUUUGGAGCAAUUGAAUGUGAGAGAAAACUAAUAAAAUAUCUAAUUUACACACUAAUAAAAUGUGUGUAAAUAAAAAAUGCUGACUUUGGUUAACAUGUUAGUUUGAGUCUCUGAUGUUGAUGUGAAAGAGAAAGUCUGACUUAAGUUCAGCCUCUUACCAACUGCAGUGUUUUGUACCUCAGUUUUGUAUGUUUUACUUUUAUUUUAUAGGUAUACACAGUGAUACAACCCGGUUUUAAAUAGCUUCGCAGUAGAGGGAAACAGAAAAAUUCAGAUUUGGCAGAAAUACCAGUCUGCACUACCCUGAGUCCCUACAUAGUACUAUAGUGGACCAGUCAGCGGAAAGUUCACUUCAUUGAAGUGUCGGUGCCCUGGGAGAAUUCAGAGGAGAAGGCUUAUGAAAGGAAAAUGGUGAGAUAAGCAGGAGGUAAACAGCGAGGACUGAAAGUUGGGUUUGUGUUUUCAACUAUCUCAUGACUGGGAGAAUUGGGAGUGUUAGGACAGAGAUUUAAGAAGACAGUAAAAGCAAUAUCAGACAAAAUAGUAAAAAUAAGUCGGUGGAUGAAGAUAAGAGGGAAAAUGUCAGCAGGGGCCAGACACGAAAACUCAGAGAAUCAAGUGAGACUCUGAUUUUGUCCAGCCUCCUUCCUGAAACAGACCCCGCUCAGUUUUAACUGCAAAUACUGAUUACAUAUUUACAGUGGAGCUCCUGGAGCUGUGUGUCAUCUUGGAGUGUUUCACCCUCAUGUAUGGACUCACACAAAGAAACCAUUACGUAAUACUGAGGAUUAUCUGCUCAUACCAGAGGUAAUUUCACAGGAUAUUCACCAAAUCAUGGUGACUGUGCGCUGACAGCACAGCUCACUCUGCUGUCAUUUUCGUCCCCAAGUUAUUCACCUAUAAAUGAGUUUCUGUGCUGCACUAGAGCAUUAUAGUUUGUUAAUAAAUGAAGGAGUACCUGCACAGAAGAUUGAUAUUUUUAUAGUUACUUUGAAGAGUUUAAAUAUGAAAUACAUGGUGAGCUGUGGAAAAUGUUUGUAUGAAGAGGCUGUCAAACUGUAAGGUAGGAGCAUUUGAGCUAAUUAUUUUGUCUUUCCACUAAAUCAUAAAAAGUAUUGACAGUGGAUUUAACUGGGACGUGACUAUUAAGGGGUUACCUGGUAGCCCCCUCACUGCAAAGCUUGAACUCUUUUCUGACCUCUUGUCUUUCAUUGAUACUCACCAAGAAGUAUUACUAAUUUUUGUCCGAACCCCAAAUGUGAUGAUGAUGAUAUCAUCAUCAUAUUUUGGCUGAAGGCUUAACAGCUGUUUAUUUGUUCAUCCCUAUGGGCUCUGUUUUGUUCUCCCAGCUCCAUGUUUCUACUGGAAAACAGACCUUGAGUGGAGGACAUGUUUUGGGUUUUUCUAGAUAGGCCACAGCUGAGUGUGGGAAGUAUUUUGCUUCAGACACAUAUGGCAGAGCACACGGAGCUAACAAGGUCACUUCCUAACCAUCAAAUCAGUGAAAAUCCUUCAUCAUGUCGUAGCUCUCUCCACAAUGGCACCAAUUACUUUUGUCCGCUCAGCCCUCUAAUAGGGAUAUCUGCACAGUUUCACCAAGCAUUAAUGGUUUAGGGUCUAGUCUUCCUUAUAUGAACCACCUCCCUCUUUGCUAAUUUUGUAUCACUGUUGCCAUUUACAGUGGGCCUCAGUGUUGGAGCGGUCAAAACAAAUGUACGUUUAUCUCAGUGGUACAGAGGAAAGAGCAGUUAGGCACAAACAUCCACUCACAGAGGCAGAGAUUAGAGCGCAGACUGGGCCUGGGCUUCCUAUUAUUAGAGUAGAGGUUUAUGGUCAGAGAGAGCUGCAGGGAAUCACUGAGAUUAAAUUACACAGACGGGGAACAUCAAAUACAGGAGAAACUUCCUGGGUUUUGCAGAGACUGAUGGGGUUUGGAAGAGUCAGGAGAAAGAGGGAGAGAGAGAGAGAGAUGUAUAACACCAAGCCAAUUUCUAUCAGCUCCUCCACGCUCAAACAAACUCCCAGCAUGGUCUUACAGGAGAAAUAGGACCAUAAAAUCACACAAACAUGCUCAGAAAUGAGGAGAACUCUGUGAAUAUUUAAAGGGAAAGACUCCAUCCUGGAACUGGAGUGCCACAGAGUGGUCCUUAAUGCACACAAUUUUUACAUGUUCUAAACUUUAUGUUCAAUAAUGCUGUACCUGUUCUCAGAGCUUUGGUUAUUGGGAGUGUAUCAAGAGAUAGCGCUGCUGCAUUGUCUGAAAAAAACACAAGGAAGUGCCCCCUCAGAUGCUCCUGUGGUAAAAAAAAAACAUUAAAAUUCCCUCUCUGGCGCCCUUUUCAUAGUGAAUGCAUGAAAUAUGGUUUUGGUAGCUGCUCUCCUGAAGGACGAACCAUGUCCUUGAGAUGUCCCUUUAGCACAUGAAAUACAAAAAGUGACCUCUGGGUACCCAACAUUAAAAAUGUUCUCUCGAUAUCCUUUUAAGUUCAUGAAAUAUAAAAAAAAGUUGUUUCUUGAUGCUUUUAUAGUUUAUGAAAUUUAGAGUCCCUUCUGGUUUGUCCUUCCACUUCCUCACAUUGUAAAAGGUGCCUCUUGAAAGUGUUUUCACUGUAUAACAUUUAAAAGCAUGACCCUCUGGAUGCCUCUCUUAAAUGCUAGAAAACAAAAGUGUCCUCUUUCUGUGCAUGAAAUGAAAAUGGUGCACUCUGGGUGCCCUUCCUUUGAAGAUCUAUUUGCUCUCACUGCAAAAUAUGUGGAAAAGGUCCUUUUGGUAAGCUUGUCCGUAUGUACAGUCACAGGCCAACUGGAUGUCUUUCUUUAUGUAAAACUUUAAAAAGGAUCUAGUGAUUCUAUUUCUGAGCAUAUCCUGUAAAACAGGUUCUCUCUGGAUACACCUCCAGUGCAUGAGAUAAUAUAGGGCCUUCCCAUCGUGGACGUGAUAUUUCAUUUUAUUUUUAUUUGUUCCACUCAUGGCAAUUUUUAACAUUUCCAUAAAUACAAAAGGCAUUCGACAACUGUAGCACAGCACAUGACCGGAAGGGAGCAGGUAGAAGAUAAGGCUUAUUUUAUCUGCACCUCACUCAAAACACAAAUUAACAACAAUGUAAGAUGGUAUAUCAUAAGGAGACGGUUGCCAUGGAAAUUUGAUGAUCUGUGUGAUCUGCUAUCUAAAGGACUCUAAACAAAGUGGAAUGAAUGAAGGGACCAGGAAUUUGACCUAGAACUAAAAAAAAUUAAAUGGUACCCAGCCAGUGCAGGGUGAAUGUUUUUAUCUACCGGACUCUGAUAGAGCACACAUGGAGGUUAUAGCAAACAGAUAUUGAAGUCUGUGCUGCUGUUCUUUAUGUGAAAUGAUGAAAAUGAAAAAAGUGCUUCAUUUGACAUGGACACCCAGUCAACAUGACAGAUAA